CGGGGCGUAGCGCAGUUUGGUAGCGCGCUUCUCUGGGGGGAAGAGGUCCCGGGUUCAAAUCCCGGCGCUCCGACCA
rnacentral:tRNA from 1 species